GCAAGAGCAAGAGCAAGAAAAGGGUAUUCUUUCUGGAUGUCAAUCCACUUUGUUACACAGGAAGUACACCCAGUUUGGGCUCUUUUGGUCAAUGGGUGUCUCUUUUAUUCUCGCAAGUCAGCCUUCACGAACCUGUUAUUGGUUUGUUAACACCGUACGGUGAGACUGUAAUUCUUCAUCUUUCAUGGCUUCCAAAAUCUCAGGUUAUUCUCAAAGUGUGUUUAUUGUGCUAUCCUAGUUGAUCAUGACUGUGUUUGGCCAACCGGAUAUUUCUCUGGAUGAUUCCAUUUACAGUAUACCGGUCUUUAGAUAGAAGUGUCUACUGCUACAAGAGGAUAAGCAUAAUUCAGAUAUAUAGUAUCAGAUGAAGAUAUGCUUAUAAGCUACAUGAAUUUAAGCAAAGAAAUAAAUAAACCUUUAUUUCUAUCAUGUCCUUGCAAGAUGGAGUCUUUAGUCAGAGCUGAGUAGUUGAGUACGAAGUCAGUGGAGAUGUGUUUAAUAGGGUACUGUAGAACCAGAUUUGCAAAAAUGUAAUUCACUCUAAGCUUGUCAUGGUAGAUUAUGGCAAGCUGAGAGAGUUUGCACAAAUUUUGAACCCAUAGCAGACUAAGCACAGAUGAGGCAACAGAUCUGUACUCAGCUUUGCCAUUGACAAUGACCUUGUUGGGGCUAUCAUAGUCCUAAUGACUGGGCAGGUUCUUCAGACUAGUGGUAUUGGUGUUGACACCAGAAUCCAUCAACCAAGACUUCUUUGAUGCAAGCUCCGAGUUUGCAUAUUAGCUGCAGGGUCAGAAAUUGGAAUUGAAGGUACUUUUUACUUUUAUAGCAUGGUCUAGAAGUGUGCCCACAUUUCUCACAAAUAUGGCAGAUUGAUCUAGAGGUAGCACCUUGAGUUAUCUGGGAAUGAUCGGAGUGAGACUGUUGGCGGCCAAACUUCUUAGCUCCAUGAACAGAAGGAUGCGGCUUCCUGUUCAGAAGCAGAGCUGCGAAGCUGCAACUUGAAAGCUAUGAAUUCAUUACUUGUGAUAGCAUGGGUGAUCAGUCUGUCCUAGUGCACCCAGAGAGCAUGGGCAGGAUUUGGUAUGGUUUUGUCUUCCUGUUGCAGGUUUAAGAGGAAUGGAAGUGGAGUCAUCGACAACCCCGAGAGGUCAUAGCCAGUGAGAAGUGCAUCAAACUUGACUCAUGAAGAUGAGAAAUUCUGAGAGGUUAGUUUGACAGGGAGUUGAGCUGUGGCAUUAGUAGAGGAGAUAGAUGUUUGAUUUGGAGAUUUCUUCCAACAUGAUCAAAGGAAGGAAACAUACUGGAACUGGACAUGACAGCAGAAGAAGAGAGAAGAUAUGGACCGCAUUACUUAGUUGGAGCUUAUUGCUUUGAUAUCAUAACACAUUUGAGCAAGACAAUAUUUUAUGAAUGAAUUUAUUCAAGUUCAGGGGCUCUCUUUGUGUGUAAAGCAAAAAGUGACAGCACCCUUGGUUACUGUUAGUAAAAGCAACCAGCCCUAGCAGAUUGUCCUUUCUCUGCUAGUGGACAACUAUGAUCUUGUUGCUUGCUCUCUGGUGCUCGUGGUCACACGAAACUCUUUCAUUGCGUUAGUUCAAAUCUAUUUUAUUCCCAUUUAAUUUUUCGAUCUUAA